rnacentral:rRNA from 1 species
GAGUUUGAUCGUGGCUCAGGACGAACGUUGGCGGCGUGCUUAAUACAUGCAAGUCAACUGAAACAUUGGUAGCAAUACUGAUGUGGAGGUGGCGCACGGGUGAGUAACACGUAGGUAAUCUGCCUUCAGGUCUGACAUAACUCCGGGAAACCGAAGCUAAUAUCAGAUGAUGCAGCGGCUUGACAUCAAGACAGUUGUUAAAGCUUAGGCGCCUGAAGAUGAGCCUGCGUCUGAUUAGCUAGUUGGCGGGUAACGGCCCACCAAGGCAACGAUCAGUAGCUGGGUCUGACGAGGAUGAUCAGCCACACUGGAACUGGAGACACGGUCA